rnacentral:lncRNA from 1 species
CAAAAUGUCCUAUAAGAGAUGUUACUUGAUUUCUUACCUCUCGUGUGGAUGCAAAUUUAAAUAAUUAAACCAUCUCUUUUUCUAAAACAUGCUUCAAAUUCAUUUUCUUUAUAUAAUAUCUUAAAUAUUUUGUAAUAUCCUUCCUUUAAAAUUGAUCAUUCUUGUCAACAACUACAUGCAAUGCUUUGUUUGUCAUACCCUCUUUGUAAUCUUUAAUCUGUUGCUAUUGCAUGAAUAAGGAAAAAUCCUCAAACAUGCUUGUAAAUUUGGGAUUGAAAUACAUUUAUUGCCCUCCACUACUUCUACUAUCUAUAGCUCUAAAUGAAGCACCAUCCAUAGGUCUUCUUUUAACUCUCUUGUCUUUUUUAUCUAUAAUUCAAAUAAUCAUAGAUAAUCAAAUACCUUCCAUCUCAAGCCUUUUACAUUGAGUUCACCAAAUAUGUCGUAUUAUGUGAAGACUUUCUUGAGAGUGCACCAAAUACUUGGCUGUAGAAGGUAGAAUAGAAAUUGCAACAACAAAAUCAUAAUUUUAAUAGAAUACUAAAUAAUCUCUAAUUAAACCUUAAUAAUGCUAAACAAACUUUAAUCAUAUUCAAAAAAAUUCUUAAAGAAAUUACAAAAGAAACAAUAAGAAAUCUUAAAGGAGUUGAAAGAAAAUCCAUAAUAAACCUUAAAAGAAUCCUUAAGAAAUCCUAAAAAUAUUAAAAUAAUUACAAAUACAUCUUAAAUAAAUAUUAAUUAAGUUCUAAUUUAAUCAUAGUUGAAAUCUUAAUAGACUUCAAUAAAAUCCUAGAUAAAUCCUAAAUCAUAAAUCAAACCAUAAAUCAAAUCCUACAUAAAUCCUAAAUCCUAAACCAAAUCCUAAAUCAAAUCAUAAAAAAAUCCUAAAUCCUAAAUCAAAUCUUAGAUGAAAUCUAAGAUCUUAAAUCAAAUCCUAGAUGAAAUCUUUAAUCCUAAACCAAAUCUUAGACAAAUCCUAAAUCCUAAAUCAAAUCCUAAA